rnacentral:rRNA from 1 species
UACGUAGGGCGCAAGCGUUGUCCGGAAUUAUUGGGCGUAAAGAGCUCGUAGGCGGUUUGUCGCGUCUGUCGUGAAAGCUUGGGGCUUAACCCCAAGUCUGCGGUGGAUACGGGCAGACUAGAGGCAGGUAGGGGAGAACGGAAUUCCCGGUGUAGCGGUGAAAUGCGCAGAUAUCGGGAGGAACACCAGUGGCGAAGGCGGUUCUCUGGGCCUGUACUGACGCUGAGGAGCGAAAGCGUGGGGAGCGAACAGG